UCAGAGACCUGGAAGCGAACAAGUCCUCCAGGGACGGCAGAUUGCAGCCGAUCACCCUCUCUGCAGAGCGGAUGACACGCUGAAGCCUGCCCGCAGAGAAUAUACAAAGAAUAUUUGUAUAUUGUAUUUGAACGUUUGUAAGAGUGACUUCUCACUAACUCCGACCAAGUUAACUACUCAGGCAACAGCACUCGAUAAAAUAUUUGAACCCAGUUAACGCAACUUUGUUUAAGUCUUCCGAAAGUAACCAAAAUUGACCCUGGAAACGAAACCGCCACCAGCUGCAGUAAGUUAGAUCGGAGAAAGCGAGACGCAUUGGAAGUAAAACAAACAGACGCUCGACAUACAGCGGAGAACUGUGCAGAGGAUUUCCUCCACGUGUCAAACAGAAGGGGGACAUCCACCGAUCCAGCAGCAUCUCGUGGGGGCGGUGAGGAGAGUGUCACCGGGGAUCAAGCGGAUCCAUGUCAGUGUGCCGACACUGUGGAGAAACCGCACUGCUGCGCCUCAACCUCCUCCGAGCAUGUCGGAGGAGGCCCGUCCACCUGUGAGCAGUUUGGGAGUUUCAGUAAAAGAAGCAGUGUGACGACUCAUCAGUGGAUUCACACUGUGAAGCCCUUCAUCUGUGACCAAUGUGGGAGGAGUUUUCGCCAGUAUUCAUCUUGGUCGAAUCAUCAAAGCAUUCACACUGAAAAAUGAAGUGUGGCCUGUGAGUCUCUGGAGUAAAGCGUUAGCCUGGAUUGUUUGCAAGUUCACAUUCAAAUUAAAAUGUUUAUUCUGAAUACAA